GUUGUUGUGGCUGAGUGGUUAAGGUGAUGGACUAGAAAUCCCCUGGGGUCUCCCCGCGCAGGUUUGAAUCCUACUGACUAUG
rnacentral:tRNA from 1 species